rnacentral:rRNA from 1 species
UACGGGGGGGGGCAAGCGUUGUUCGGAAUUACUGGGCGUAAAGGGCUCGUAGGUGGCCAACUAAGUCAGACGUGAAAUCCCCUCGGCUUAACCGGGGAACUGCGUCUGAUACUGGAUGGCUUGAGUUCGGGGAGAGGGAUGCGGAAUUCCAGGUGUAGCGGUGAAAUGCGUAGAUAUCUGGAGGAACACCGGUGGCGAAGGCGGCAUCCUGGACCGACACUGACGCUGAGGAGCGAAAGCGUGGGGAGCAAACAGG